rnacentral:lncRNA from 1 species
UGUUGAGAUGAGAACCUGUGAAGAUGGAAGGAACCUAGAUGUUUGAGUCAUGGGGUGGAGAAGAGACCAUGUAAACCUACAUUGAAAUUUGUGUGGCUCCCUCCCCCUCAACCAGCUUAGAAGUCGGGUGGAAGAGGAAGCUGGAUGGAACAACAUGAGCCCUGGUCAGGGCAGACUUAAGCCAGGAGAUGAAGUGCCAUAUACAGAGAAAACCUCAGUGGG